AUGGACUCGGACGCCUCCGUGUCCCCGCGGCGGCGGAGCUGCUACAGCGACAGCGGCGACUCCUCCUGCUCCGAGCCCUUCAGCGAGUGCGGCAGCGACGACCUCUCCUUCACACCCGCCGCCGCCGCGGGCAUCCACCGCCUGCUGCUCUCCUGCGCGGCCGAGGCGUCCGACGGCUCCAUCUCCGAGCUCGUGGCCGAGCUCGAGUCGCCCUCGGCGUCGGUCGACUCGCUCCGCCGCGCGGCCAUGGAGCUGCGCCUGCUCGCCAAGCACAACCCGGACAACCGCAUCCGCAUCGCGGCGUCCGGGGCGGUGCGGCCGCUCGUGGCGCUGCUGUCGCACGCCGACCCGCUGCUGCAGGAGCACGGGGUAACGGCGCUGCUCAACCUCUCCAUCUGCGACGAGAACAAAGCCGUGAUGGUCGAGGCCGGCGCGAUACGGCCGCUGGUGCGCGCGCUCAAGUCGGCCGCGUCGCCCGCGGCCAGGGAGAACGCCGCCUGCGCGCUGCUCCGCCUCUCCCAGCUCGACGGCGCCGCCGCCGCCGCCGUCGGCCGCGCGGGCGCCGUGCCGCUGCUGGUGUCCCUCCUCGAGACCGGCGGCGCGCGCGGGAAGAAGGACGCCGCCACGGCGCUCUACGCGCUCUGCAGCAGCGCGCGCGAGAACCGCCUGCGCGCCGUCGAGGCCGGCGCCGUGCGUCCCUUGCUGGACCUCAUGUCGGACCCCGAGUCCGGCAUGGUGGACAAGGCCGCCUACGUGCUCCACUCCCUGGUGGGCUUCGCCGAGGGCCGCUCCGCCACCGUGGAGGAGGGCGGCAUCCCCGUGCUGGUGGAGAUGGUGGAGGUCGGGACCUCGCGGCAGAAGGAGAUCGCCACGCUCUCCCUCCUCCAGAUCUGCGACGAGAACGCCGCGUACCGCACCAUGGUCGCCCGCGAGGGCGCCAUCCCUCCCCUCGUCGCGCUCUCCCAGUCCUCCUCCGCACGCCCCAAGCUCAAAACCAAGGCUGAGGCGCUGAUCGAGAUGCUGCGGCAACCGCGAAGCGCGAGCCUGCGAGCCACCAGGCCGGCGGCGAUCGUUGCGGCGGAGUGA
rnacentral:rRNA from 1 species